rnacentral:rRNA from 1 species
CAAUGGGCGCAAGCCUGAUCCAGCAAUGCCGCGUGCAGGAUGAAGGCCUUCGGGUUGUAAACUGCUUUUGUACGGAACGAAAAGGCUCUGGUUAAUACCUGGGGCUCAUGACGGUACCGUAAGAAUAAGCACCGGCUAACUACGUGCCAGCAGCCGCGGUAAUACGUAGGGUGCAAGCGUUAAUCGGAAUUACUGGGCGUAAAGCGUGCGCAGGCGGUGAUGUAAGACAGGCGUGAAAUCCCCGGGCUCAACCUGGGAAUGGCGCUUGUGACUGCAUCGCUGGAGUGCGGCAGAGGGGGAUGGAAUUCCGCGUGUAGCAGUGAAAUGCGUAGAUAUGCGGAGGAACACCGAUGGCGAAGGCAAUCCCCUGGGCCUGUACUGACGCUCAUGCACGAAAGCGUGGGGAGCAAACAGGAUUAGAUACCCUGGUAGUCCACGCCCUAAACGAUGUCAACUGGUUGUUGGGUCUUAACUGACUCAGUAACGAAGCUAACGCGUGAAGUUGACCGCCU